CCUCCUCCCUUCUUCCAUCACUCGACUCACGGCUUCCCUCGCCAACACACGCAUUCAAGUUCUCCUCCUCUUCCUCCUCCUCCUCCUCCUCUUCUUCGGCCUCCUCCGCCUCCAACGGACCAACAGACUAACGGACGAGAAGUUUCCGUCCGUACCAAGUGACGAGGAUCAAGAAUUUACGUUCAGAUUUGAAGUUUUUUUUUUUUUUUUAAGUUUUCACCUGAAGUUAUUGUUGUUGUUGUUGUUGUUUCUCCCUCACCUGAAACUAAUUACGUCAGGUGUGAUUUGAGAGAUAGAGAGAUAGAGAGAGAGAUAAUCAAGAGUCUCUCCAAUCUACACGGCAUUGAAAUUUUUAGUGUGUGUCUCUCCUCUCUUUUCGUUCUGCUUUUUUUUUUAUAUUUUCUUCGUCUUCUUCGUCGUCUUCGUCUUCUCUCUUCCGUAUCAUCGUGUUUUUGAGAAGUACAUUUACACAGCGACGAACUGAAGAACAUUGUGAAGAAUUUAAUAACUUUUUGAAGACCUUGAACUAUUUUGCGACGAACUUAAAGGACUUUCGUGAAAAGCCUUUGAAGAACUUUUUGAAAACUUGAAGAACUUUUGAGUCUUUUAAGAACCUAAGAACUAUUUGAAGAACUUUUGAGCUUUUUGAAGAACCUAAGAACUUUUGAAGAGCCUUUGAAGAACUUUUUGAAGACCCGAAGAACUUUUUUUGAAGAACUUUUGAGCUUUUUGUUGAACUGAAGAACUUUUUGAAGACCUGAAGAACUAUUAUUUGAAGAACUUUUGAGCUUUUUGUAGAACUGCAGAACUUUUUGAAGAACUUUUGAACGAACAACAACAACAGAAAAAAAGGAGAAGAAUAAGAAAGAAGAUUUAAGGAGAAGUUUCAUACCACCUCCUCCUCCUCCUCCUCCUCCUCCUCCUCCUCCUUAUCUUCAACUCUUCUUCUUCUUCUUUCUCUGUUAUUUUUUGGUCUUCUUUCUCUUCCUCCAUCUCUUCUUUCUCUCCUCCUUCCUCCUCCUCUUCUUCUCUUUCCUUGGUCUUCCUCCUCCUCCUCCUCCUCUUCCUCCUACUCUUCUCUCUUCCUGGUCCUCUAUCUCCUCAUCCUAUUAAACUAUCCUUCUUCGUCUUCCUCCUCCUCCUCCUCUUCCUCCUCCUCCUCUAUCUCCUCAACCUAUUACACUAUCCUUCUUCGUCUUCCUCCUCCUCCUCCUCUUUCUCCUCCUCUUCUAUCUCCUCAACCUAUUAAACUAUCCUUCUUCCUCUUCCUCUUCCUCUUGGUGCGUCGUGAUACUGGCAAGGGAAGCUUAAUAAUCAUCCUCAUCGUCAUCCUCGUCAUCGUCUGAAUAACCAGCGCCACGAUGUUCAACUCAAUCGCUUCUCGACUCAAAAGUGGGAUUCGGCUCGACCUGAUGACAGUGGACGACAUCAUCAACAGCAGUCCCAGCUUACGAACGACCAGGAGCAAAGUACGAAGAAGAUGGAUAGACGUCGCCCCCCACCUUAGACACAUGAAGAAGAAGAUGGAGAUUGAGCCCCAGCCAGAGGACGCUUACAAACGCCUCGCCUGACGUCACACACACCUCCUCCAGAAAGUGCUCCGCCCCGCCCUGGCCGAAAUUAAAAGAAAACGGGCGAACGGAGAUGAAAAAAGGAGCGGAAAAAGAUGCAACCAGAAGGGAAAUCAAAGCAAAUAGAUGGGGAAAAGAUGAAUACAGAAGGGAAGGAGAUGGACUCGUAAGGAAAAGAGAUGAAAAAGGAGAUGAAAGAGAUGAAAACAGGACGGAAAGAAGUGGAAAGAGAAGGGAAGGAGAUGGAAACAUAUGAUAAAGAGAUUGAAAGAGAAGAAAAGGAAAUGGAAACAGAGAAGAAAGAGAUGAAAACAUAAGGAAAAGAGAUGAAAAAGGAGAUGAAAGAGAUGAAAAGGGGAGGGAAAGAAGUGGAAAGAGAAGGGAAGAAAAUGGAAACAGAGAAGAAAGAGAUGAGAUCGAGAGGAAGGAAAAAGAGGCACAAGAGAAAGAGAAGAAAAGAGAAAGGAAAAAGAUGAAAAGAGAGCAGAAAGAGAUGAAAGUAUAAGGGAAAGAGUAAUGAAAAGGUGUAGAAUCAAAUAACAUUAGUCCAUCAUUCUUUUGUUUUUGUUGUUAAUGUUUUGUUUAGGGUCAAAUCCUGUUCGUCUCUCUCUUUACUGUCUAAUUUCGAGGUUAUUUUUUACUUUUGUUUUUCAUUAUUAUUCUUUGCUUAUUCUCCAUUCACUUGUUUCUUUCUUUUCUUCUUGUAUUGAUGUGAUUUAUUUAUUUAUUUAUUUUUUAUAAGAUUUUCUGUUUAAUUAUUUUUCUUAUGUUAGAGUUCUCGGUUCUUCACAAAAGCGAUGAGAUUAUUACUGUUAUUAUUUUUGUCGCUGUGCUGUGAUUUUUGCUUUAAUGAGAGAGAGAGAGAGAGAGAGAGAGAGAGAGAGAGUGUGUGUGUGUGUGUGUGCGUUCGUGUUUUAAACUAAGACAGGUAUGAUGCACCUUAUUUUAGCAAUUAGCUCUUGCACUCAGGUAGACUAGAGGUAAAUCGAAGGUAAAUAAUAAUAAUAAUAAUAAUAAUAAUAAUAAUAAUAAUAAUAAUAAUAAUAAUAAUAAUAAUAAUAAUAAUAAUAACAAUAAUGAAAAUCUCCCUUCAGAACGCUAUUAGGGGGAGGAAUACUUGAGAAUAGCGUAAGGAGACGAGUAAAAACUUGUGAUAUUAUAUGCGAAUGUAAUAAUAAUAAAACAAAGCUUGUCAUAAUAGUAAGGAAGAAAAAGUAAAAAAAAUAUAUAUAUCAAAAUAGUAGAAAAUAUUAAAGCAAAAGUGGUAGAGUUGUUUCUUAGUGUGUACGUUGUAAUAAUAAUAAUAAUAAUAAUAAUAAUAAUAAUAAUAAUAAUAAUAAUAAUAAUAAUAAUAAUAAUAAUAAUGUUAAUAAUGAAGCUCUCCACUGUAUGUACAAAAAGCUUUAUAUAGGCUGAAGCUGAUCAUGUACAUAGCUAAGGUUACCGUGUGUGUGUGUGUGUGUGUGUGUGUGUGUGUGUGUGUGUGUGGCGUCCAGGGGUUAAGGCGUAAUCUAAGUUCGUCUUCUUCGUGUAAGUGUACAAAUAUCUAGUGACCAGCGACUGUUAGAAUACGUGAAAUAAAAAUAAAAUAAAAUAACCAAUCAAUGAAUAACAAAAAUAAA